rnacentral:rRNA from 1 species
UACGGAGGGUGCAAGCGUUAUCCGGAUUCACUGGGUUUAAAGGGUGCGUAGGAGGGUAGGUAAGUCAGUGGUGAAAUCUUCGAGCUUAGCUCGGAAACUGCCGUUGAUACUAUCUAUCUUGAAUACCGUGGAGGUGAGCGGAAUAUGUCAUGUAGCGGUGAAAUGCUUAGAUAUGACAUAGAACACCAAUUGCGAAGGCAGCUCGCUACACGAAUAUUGACUCUGAGGCACGAAAGCGUGGGGAUCAAACAGG